UACGUAGGGGGCAAGCGUUGUCCGGAUUUAUUGGGCGUAAAGAGCGUGUAGGCGGUCAGGUAGGUCGGUUGUGAAAACUGGAGGCUCAACCUUCAGAGGUCGACCGAAACCCCCUGGCUAGAGUCCGGGAGAGGAGAGUGGAAUUCCUGGUGUAGCGGUGAAAUGCGCAGAUAUCGGGAAGAACACCCGUGGCGAAAGCGGCUCUCUGGAACGGUACUGACGCUGAGACGCGAAAGCGUGGGGAGCGAACAGG
rnacentral:rRNA from 1 species